rnacentral:rRNA from 1 species
UGCUACUUUGCUGACGAGCGGCGGACGGGUGAGUAAUGCUUGGGAAUAUGCCUUUUGGUGGGGGACAACAGUUGGAAACGACUGCUAAUACCGCAUGAUGUCUACGGACCAAAGUGGGGGACCUUCGGGCCUCACGCCAAAAGAUUAGCCCAAGUGGGAUUAGCUAGUUGGUAAGGUAAUGGCUUACCAAGGCAACGAUCCCUAGCUGGUUUGAGAGGAUGAUCAGCCACACUGGGACUGAGACACGGCCCAGACUCCUACGGGAGGCAGCAGUGGGGAAUAUUGCACAAUGGGCGCAAGCCUGAUGCAGCCAUGCCGCGUGUGUGAAGAAGGCCUUCGGGUUGUAAAGCACUUUCAGUAAGGAGGAAAGGUUAAGUUUUAAUAGAGCUUAGCUGUGACGUUACUUACAGAAGAAGCACCGGCUAACUCCGUGCCAGCAGCCGCGGUAAUACGGAGGGUGCGAGCGUUAAUCGGAAUUACUGGGCGUAAAGCGUACGCAGG